rnacentral:lncRNA from 1 species
GUAAUUCAUAAGUUGGGAUCAAUUUAUUUUUUUGUAUUUUAUAAUUUAUGAUAUUUUUUUUUCAGAGAUCUGAAACCAACACAAGACCAGCUGGGUCAAUAUUCCUAAUGCACCUCCAAAUGAGGAACUAAUGCGCCAUCAAAUGAGGAACACAAAAGUUGUGUGUAAACAAAAAUUGUCUCUGUAGUGAUAUUGAACAUGUUUCAUUUUAACAAGUGACUGAGCUUUACCAUUUGUGUUGAUCUGGAAAGUAGAGGAUCAUAGUAUAAAUAUGUAAAAACUAUGGAGUUUUUUAAUGUAUUCAAAGUAUUAAAUUUUCAAAGAAAUUGUUGUGUGAAAAAAAAUCGCACUUCGUAUUCCGAAAAUUUAACCACAUAUAUGUGAAAAUGUCUUAGCUUCGAAACAAGCCAUCCUACAUAUCCAGUGUACUAUAUUGACUGAGCUAGAGUAGAAAACAUUAGCAAUACCAACUACAUGUAUGCAGAAACAAUUGCGCAAAUUGCCAAGCUGAUUAGAGGGCAGAAAACCAACAUUUGGAAUGACAUGUACAAUGUAUACAACCAACACAAG